UGCAUUUGUGCCAAAGCAGGACAUCCAUUGGCAAGGUGUUGUGCAUAAUCUAGUUCUAAUGUACCCAUAAUCACACAAACUCUCACAUUGACAAUUACAGGUGGGAAGUCACUGGUCCUGAGGACCAAGCGUCUGUUUCACGUUUGGGGGUAGCUGACUUCACCCCAGCAAAGAGCUCUGCUGGGUGCACUUCUUCUCAACACACUGCACCUGGUGAUACAUAUCCAGUCUCUCACUCCAUACUCCCCAAUGCUCAUGGUCUAACAUCAUAGUUAUAUUGUUGAUG